rnacentral:rRNA from 1 species
GGGGGAUAUUGCACAAUGGGGGAAACCCUGAUGCAGCAAUGCCGCGUGAAGGAAGAAGGUCUUCGGAUUGUAAACUUCUGUUUUUCGUGACGAAGAAGUGACGGUAGCGAAAAAGAAAGCUCCGGCUAACUACGUGCCAGCAGCCGCGGUAAUACGUAGGGAGCAAGCGUUGUCCGGAUUUACUGGGUGUAAAGGGUGCGCAGGCGGGACUGCAAGUUGGAUGUGAAAUACCGGGGCUCAACCCCGGAGCUGCAUCCAAAACUGUAGUUCUUGAGUGAAGUAGAGGCAGGCGGAAUUCCGAGUGUAGCGGUGAAAUGCGUAGAUAUUCGGAGGAACACCAGUGGCGAAGGCGGCCUGCUGGGCUUUAACUGACGCUGAGGCACGAAAGCAUGGGGAGCAAAC